rnacentral:rRNA from 1 species
AUUGAACGCUGGCGGCAGGCCUAACACAUGCAAGUCGAACGAGUGGCGGACGGGUGAGUCAUGUCUGGGAAACUGCCUGAUGGAGGGGGAUAACUACUGGAAACGGUAGCUAAUACCGCAUACCAUCGGAUGUGCCCAGAUGGGAUUAGCUAGUAGGUGGGGUAAAGGCUCACCUAGGCGACGAUCCCUAGCUGGUCUGAGAGGAUGACCAGCCACACUGGAACUGAGACACGGUCCAGACUCCUACGGGAGGCAGCAGUGGGGAAUAUUGCGCAAUGGGCGCAAGCCUGAUGGAGCCAUGCCGCGUGAGUGAAGAAGGCCUUCGGUUUGUAAAGUUCUGUCAGCAGGGAGGCGUUACCUAAAGAGAAAGCACCGGCUAACUCCGUGCCAGCAGCCGCGGUAAUAC